rnacentral:rRNA from 1 species
UGGGGAAUAUUGGACAAUGGGCGAAAGCCUGAUCCAGCAAUGCCGCGUGGGUGAAGAAGGUCUUCGGAUUGUAAAGCCCUUUCGACAGGGACGAUGAUGACGGUACCUGUAGAAGAAGCCCCGGCUAACUUCGUGCCAGCAGCCGCGGUAAUACGAAGGGGGCUAGCGUUGCUCGGAAUUACUGGGCGUAAAGGGCGCGUAGGCGGCGCUGUUAGUCAGGCGUGAAAUUCCUGGGCUCAACCUGGGGACUGCGCUUGAUACGGCAGUGCUAGAGGAUGGAAGAGGCUCGCGGAAUUCCCAGUGUAGAGGUGAAAUUCGUAGAUAUUGGGAAGAACACCGGUGGCGAAGGCGGCGAGCUGGUCCAUUACUGACGCUGAGGCGCGACAGCGUGGGGAGCAAACAGG